GACGAACGCUGGCGGCGUGCUUAACACAUGCAAGUCGAACGGUAAGGCUCCAGCUUGCUGGGGUACACGAGUGGCGAACGGGUGAGUAACACGUGGGCGACCUGCCCUGCACUUCGGGAUAAGCCUGGGAAACUGGGUCUAAUACCGGAUAGGACCGCACCGUGAGGGUGUGGUGGAAAGUUUUUUCGGUGUGGGAUGGGCCCGCGGCCUAUCAGCUUGUUGGUGGGGUAAUGGCCUACCAAGGCGGCGACGGGUAGCCGGCCUGAGAGGGUGGACGGCCACAUUGGGACUGAGACACGGCCCAGACUCCUACGGGAGGCAGCAGUGGGGAAUAUUGCACAAUGGGCGGAAGCCUGAUGCAGCGACGCCGCGUGGGGGAUGACAGCCUUCGGGUUGUAAACUCCUUUCACCAUCGACGAAGGGUUUCUGACGGUAGAUGGGGAAGAAGCACCGGCUAACUACGUGCCAGCAGCCGCGGUAAUACGUAGGGUGCGAGCGUUGUCCGGAAUUACUGGGCGUAAAGAGCUCGUAAGUGGUUUGUCGCGUCGUCUGUGAAAUUCCCGGGGCUUAACUCCGGGCGUGCAGGCGAUAGCGGGCAUAACUUGAGUACUGUAAGGGAGACUGGAAUUCCUGGUGUAGCGGUGAAAUGCGCAGAUAUCAGGAGGAACACCGGUGGCGAAGGCGGGUCUCUGGGCAGUAACUGACGCUGAGGAGCGAAAGCAUGGGGAGCGAACAGGAUUAGAUACCCUGGUAGUCCAUGCCGUAAACGGUGGGCGCUAGGUGUGGGUUUCCUUCCACGGGAUCCGUGCCGUAGCUAACGCAUUAAGCGCCCCGCCUGGGGAGUACGGCCGCAAGGCUAAAACUCAAAGGAAUUGACGGGGGCCCGCACAAGCGGCGGAGCAUGUGGAUUAAUUCGAUGCAACGCGAAGAACCUUACCUGGGCUUGACAUAUACAGGAUCGCGCCAGAGAUGGUGUUUCCCUUGUGGCUUGUAUACAGGUGGUGCAUGGUUGUCGUCAGCUCGUGUCGUGAGAUGUUGGGUUAAGUCCCGCAACGAGCGCAACCCUUGUCUUAUGUUGCCAGCACGUUGUGGUGGGGACUCGUAAGGAACUGCCGGGGUUAACUCGGGGGAAGGUGGGGAUGACGUCAAAUCAUCAUGCCCCUUAUGUCCAGGGCUUCACACAUGCUACAAUGGUCGGUACAGUGGGUUGCCAGUCCGUGAGGGCGAGCUAAUCCCGCAAAGCCGGUCUCAGUUCGGAUCGGGGUCUGCAACUCGACCCCGUGAAGUCGGAGUCGCUAGUAAUCGCAGAUCAGCAACGCUGCGGUGAAUACGUUCCCGGGCCU
rnacentral:rRNA from 1 species